AUUGAACGCUGGCGGCAUGCUUAACAUAUGCAAGUCGAACGGUAACGGGCCUUCGGGCGCCGACGAGUGGCGGACGGGUGAGUAACGCGUAGGAAUCUGCCUGGUAGUGGGGGACAACUUAGGGAAACUUAAGCUAAUACCGCAUACGCCUUACGGGGGAAAGCGGGGGGUCUUCGGACCUCGUGCUAUCAGAUGAGCCUGCGCUGGAUUAGCUAGUUGGUAGGGUAAAGGCCUACCAAGGCGACGAUCCAUAGCUGGUCUGAGAGGACGAUCAGCCACACUGGGACUGAGACACGGCCCAGACUCCUACGGGGGGCAGCAGUGGGGAAUAUUGGACAAUGGGCGAAAGCCUGAUCCAGCAAUGCCGCGUGUGUGAAGAAGGCCUGAGGGUUGUAAAGCACUUUCAAUGGGAAGGAAAAAAGUCGGGCUAAUACCCCGAUUCUUGACAUUACCUAUAGAAGAAGCACCGGCUAACUCCGUGCCAGCCGCCGCGGUAACAC
rnacentral:rRNA from 1 species